CGUCCAGUGGUUAGGACAUCCUCUUUUCAUCUCGAAGACAGGGCUUCGAUUCCCGUAAGGGAUA
rnacentral:tRNA from 1 species